rnacentral:rRNA from 1 species
GUGCCAGCAGCCGCGGUAAUACGUAGGUGGCAAGCGUUAUCCGGAAUUAUUGGGCGUAAAGCGCGCGCAGGUGGUUUCUUAAGUCUGAUGUGAAAGCCCACGGCUCAACCGUGGAGGGUCAUUGGAAACUGGGAGACUUGAGUGCAGAAGAGGAAAGUGGAAUUCCAAGUGUAGCGGUGAAAUGCGUAGAGAUUUGGAGGAACACCAGUGGCGAAGGCGACUUUCUGGUCUGUAACUGGCGCUGAGGCGCGAAAGCGUGGGGAGCAAACAGGAUUAGAUACCCUGGUAGUCC